GGGCCCGUAGCUCAAUAGGUAGAGCGCUUCCAUGGCAUGGAAGAGGUCGUCGGUUCGAUUCCGAUCGGGUCCA
rnacentral:tRNA from 1 species